AUUGAACGCUGGCGGCAGGCCUAACACAUGCAAGUCGAACGAGUGGCGGACGGGUGCGUAAUGUCUGGGAAACUGCUCGAUGGAGGGGGCUAACUACUGGAAACGGUAGCUAAUACCGCAUACCAUCGGAUGUGCCCAGAUGGGAUUAGAUAGUAGGUGGGGUAAAGGAUCACCUAGGCGACGAUCCCUAGCUGGGCUGAGAGGCUGACCAGCCACACUGGAACUGAGACACGGGCCAGACGCCUACGGGAGGCAGCAGUGGGGAAUAUUGCACAAUGGACGCAAGCCUGAUGGAGCCAUGCCGCGUGUAUGAAGAAGGCCUUCGGGUUGUAAAGUACUUUGAGCGAGGAGGCGUUACUCGCAGAAGAAGCAUCGGAUAACUCCGUGCCAGCAGCCGCGGUAAUAC
rnacentral:rRNA from 1 species